GCAGAGGGCGAGAGAGAGAGAGAGAGGCAGACUCCCUGCUGAAUGCAGAUACCCCUACACCCCAGUGUGGGGCUCGAUCCCACAACCCCGAGAUCAUGACCUGAGCUGAAACCAAGAGUCAGACACUUAACCGACUGAGCCACCCAGGCGCCCCUCGACACUAACUUGUGAGGAAGGAUGUGUCAUGGAGACUCAGGACGGAACUUCGUGUGGACCAGAGAAUGGAAGACGCUGACCUUGACCUGGAUUUAAAAUAGGGCUGCAGAUUUUGCAGAACGGUCCCCCAGCUCUCCAUCCAUUUAUCUAUAGGAGGUUCUUCCCCAUCAAAGUCAAACUAUACUUAGUUUGAGCCCUUAAAAUUUCUCUUUAGCAAAGGGUCAAUCUAUACCAGUGUGUAUUUGAGUUGCUUGUGUGUGCAAGAAAAGAUCAGCAUCGUGUGAAUCUUGAUGCUCGUGAAUUGAAAAGCCAGAGGAGGGUGGUGCCUCCCCAACAAUAUCGGGACUGACCGUAGAGUCCAGGAAGGAUUAUAUAGAGACUCAAAGAUUUUUCUGGUAGCCAUUCCUUAAACUACAAAGUAUACAUACUGCCUAGAUCUGAGAACCUAAGGGCAAGUGUAUCAGUCAGAGCUCACUGCAGGAAGCAGAAACCGCUCCAGAUAUAUUAAGUGGAAAGGGUUUUCAUACAGGAGGUUUGGUCUUUAGAAAGGGCUGAAGGAGCAGGUUCUAGGCUGCGCUACUGGAUGACACCUAGAAGAAUACAGAACUGGCCAUCAGGAGAGCAGCUGCAAGGAGGCCUGGGCAGUGCCUUCCAAUUCUUGCCUGGGACAGAAGGAAACUGGGCCACUCCAGAGUCCAGCUCACAGGGCAAUGCCAACAGAUGCUUCCGGUCUCAGCUCUACCGUCUUUCCUAUGUGGCCUUGGACAAACCUCAGCUGCCCCCGUUGUCAAACAAAGCUCUGAGGCCACCCAGGAGGCCCUGCCACCUCCUAUCCAGGCUUCCCUCUCUUUUUGCCGUGUUUGAGGAACUCGGCUCAAGAACCACCAGCCACAGUCCUGAAUGGGCCUUUGCUUCCAGGAGGACAGCAGGAUGAACAGGCCCUUGCUUCCAGGAGGAUAGCAGGAUGGAGGCAGGAUCACAGCAGGUAUGCAAUGAUUUCUGUUUGCUUCUUGCUUCUUCAGUUUUUCCUCUGACAACAUUCAUAGAGAGCUGCGCUGCUGGACGUUUACUGCCCACCCUGAGGGCUGGCAGGG